rnacentral:rRNA from 1 species
CGGCAACGGAUAUCUCGGCUCUCGCAUCGAUGAAGAACGUAGCGAAAUGCGAUACCUGGUGUGAAUUGCAGAAUCCCGCGAACCAUCGAGUCUUUGAACGCAAGUUGCGCCCGAGGCCAUCCGGACGAGGGCACGCCUGCCUGGGCGUCACGCCAAAAGACGCUC